rnacentral:rRNA from 1 species
GACGUAGGGCGCGAGCGUUGUCCGGAUUUAUUGGGCGUAAAGAGCUCGUAGGCGGCUUGUCGCGUUGUUCGUGAAAACCGGGGGCUUAACCCUCGGCGUGCGGGCGAUACGGGCAGACUUGAGUACUGCAGGGGAGACUGGAAUUCCUGGUGUAGCGGUGGAAUGCGCAGAUAUCAGGAGGAACACCGGUGGCGAAGGCGGGUCUCUGGGCAGUAACUGACGCUGAGGAGCGAAAGCGUGGGGAGCGAACAGG